UACAUGCAAGUCGAACGCACAGCGAAAGGUGCUUGCACCUUUCAAGUGAGUGGCGAACGGGUGAGUAACACGUGGACAACCUGCCUCAAGGCUGGGGAUAACAUUUGGAAACAGAUGCUAAUACCGAAUAAAACUUAGUGUCGCAUGACACAAAGUUAAAAGGCGCUUCGGCGUCACCUAGAGAUGGAUCCGCGGUGCAUUAGUUAGUUGGUGGGGUAAAGGCCUACCAAGACAAUGAUGCAUAGCCGAGUUGAGAGACUGAUCGGCCACAUUGGGACUGAGACACGGCCCAAACUCCUACGGGAGGCUGCAGUAGGGAAUCUUCCACAAUGGGCGAAAGCCUGAUGGAGCAACGCCGCGUGUGUGAUGAAGGCUUUCGGGUCGUAAAGCACUGUUGUAUGGGAAGAACAGCUAGAAUAGGAAAUGAUUUUAGUUUGACGGUACCAUACCAGAAAGGGACGGCUAAAUACGUGCCAGCAGCCGCGGUAAUACGUAUGUCCCGAGCGUUAUCCGGAUUUAUUGGGCGUAAAGCGAGCGCAGACGGUUUAUUAAGUCUGAUGUGAAAGCCCGGAGCUCAACUCCGGAAUGGCAUUGGAAACUGGUUAACUUGAGUGCAGUAGAGGUAAGUGGAACUCCAUGUGUAGCGGUGGAAUGCGUAGAUAUAUGGAAGAACACCAGUGGCGAAGGCGGCUUACUGGACUGCAACUGACGUUGAGGCUCGAAA
rnacentral:rRNA from 1 species